AACUGAAAGAAAAAUGGGUUGUUGGAAAUUGGAAUCUACUCAGCUACAAUAAGUUAUUUAAAUGUGCAACUACGAAGUGGUAAGUUCUCCUAGUUGUACGUAGUUGAGGAGUUGGUUGAAAGUGGUCGUCGUCGGCGACGGCGCGGCGGCGACGGCGGCGGCACCGGCGGCGGCGGAAGGCGUGCCCCGGCGAGCCAAUGGCGCGUCCCACCCCCUCGCCCCGCUAGGCGCCCGCAACACCCAGCUUGUCAGUAGGUUUGUGUCCUUUUGGCUGACCGCAUGACUCCGUAUCUCGCUUCGUCGCUGUACUCGUUGUAACAUACAGCACGCGCUUAAGAACGCUUCCGCCAGACGCUUCAAACUAACGCCGGAGUUUGUGAACUGUUGAAAGAACGUUUAAAGAAACUUGUAGAGGAGUUGGCAAGUUUGGGUGCUCGGGUGGCAGCACGACGAGCAUAAGGUUACGUUGCCGUGCUGUAGCCAGGAGAUAAUUUGCGAAAAGAUUUUGGCCCGGAGUCAUAUCAUUAUAUAGGAGCUAACUUAAAAGUAAGUGCUAUACAUAAACAAUGCAGGCUCUCACACUUGGGCAAUUUGGGCAACAGGGUUCUAAAUCGGUCUCCAGUACGACCAAUGUUUUUGUAUCUUAGUCUGCCUGAAAAAUUAUUUCGUAUUUUAAUAUCUUGCCGUGUCUGCGUGUCAUAUUUUUCAUGAUUACUCUCUUGGCCAAAAUACCAAGAUCUUUUCCGCUUAUCUUUCGUAACUUUUGCUC